rnacentral:misc_RNA from 1 species
GAUGAAGAACGUAGCGAAAUGCGAUAAGUAAUGUGAAUUGCAGAAUUCCGUGAAUCAUCGAAUCUUUGAACGCACAUUGCGCCCCUUGGUAUUCCAUGGGGCAUGUCUGUUCGAGCGUCAUUUGUACCUUCAAGCCUUGCUUGGUGUUGGGUGUUUGUCUCGCCUCUGCGCGCAGACUCGCCUCAAAACAAUUGGCAGCCGGCGUAUUGAUUUCGGAGCGCAGUACAUCUCGCGCUUUGCACUCAGAACGACGACGUCCAAAAGUACAUUUUUACACUCUUGACCUCGGAUCAGGUAGGGAUACCCGCUGAACUUAAGCAUAUCAAUAAGCGGAGGA